rnacentral:rRNA from 1 species
UACGUAGGGUGCGAGCGUUGUCCGGAUUUAUUGGGCGUAAAGAGCUCGUAGGCGGCUUGGCAAGUCGGGUGUGAAACCUCCAGGCUCAACCUGGAGACGCCACUCGAUACUGCCAUGGCUAGAGUCCGGUAGGGGACCACGGAAUUCCUGGUGUAGCGGUGAAAUGCGCAGAUAUCAGGAGGAACACCGGUGGCGAAGGCGGUGGUCUGGGCCGGCACUGACGCUGAGGAGUGAAAGCGUGGGUAGCAAACAGG